rnacentral:rRNA from 1 species
GCCAAUGCAUGCUUUUACAGUAUGAAAAUUGGUGAUUUAUAAUAACUUAGCAAAUCGCAAAGUGAAAACAGGCGAUAAAUCAUUCAAGUUUCUGACCUAUCAGCUUUCGACGGUAUGGUAUUGGCUUACCGUGGCAGUGACGGUUAACGGGGGAUUAGGGUUCGAUUCCGGAGAGGGAGCCUGAGAAACGGCUACCACAUCUAAGGAAGGCAGCAGGCGCGCAAAUUACCCAAUUCUAACAGUUUGAGAGAGGUAGUAACAAGAAAUAACAAUACAAGGCAGUUAAAAUGCUUUGUAAUUGGAAUGAUAGAAAUUUAAACCCUUUUUAAAGUAUCAAUUGGAGGGCAAGUCUGGUGCCAGCAGCCGCGGUAAUUCCAGCUCCAAUAGCGUAUAUUAAAAUUGUUGCAGUUAAAAAGCUCGUAGUUGAAGUUCUGCUAAAAGUAACCGGUCUGCUUUGAAUAAAAGUGGUAUCUUGGUAUGUAUUUAGCAAUGAUGUCCUUUGAAGUGUUUUUUACUUUAUUGUAAUAAAGCAUAUUCAGGACUUUUACUUUGAGAAAAUUAGAGUGUUUCUAGCAGGCCAACGCUUUGAAUACUGCAGCAUG